rnacentral:rRNA from 1 species
UACGGGGGGGGCAAGCGUUGUUCGGAAUUACUGGGCGUAAAGGGCUCGUAGGCGGCCAACUAAGUCAGACGUGAAAUCCCCAGGCUCAACCUGGGAACUGCGUCUGAUACUGGAUGGCUUGAAUUCGGGAGAGGGAUGCAGAAUUCCAGGCGUAGCGGUGAAAUGCGUAGAUAUCUGGAGGAAUACCGGUGGCGAAGGCGGCAUCCUGGACCGACAUUGACGCUGAUGAGCGAAAGCUAGGGGAGCAAACGGG